GGUAAAUAAGGCGGCCCGAAAUUUCACUUGCGGCAACUCUUUUUUUCAUUUUCCUCUCAUUUUUUCACACUUCACAGUGUUAAUAUUUCUUUUAAUUUUCUGUCUUCUCUUUUCAAAAAAUUCAGAAACCUAAACCUCUACCCAAUUCACCAUAUUCAUCACAGCUUUAAUAGUUGCGGAUGGUUGAAGAUUUUGAAUUUUCUCAUGUAUCAGAUCUUUAUGUUGAUUAAUUCUAGCAUAAUCUGACUUUCUUCCUUUCGCAAGGGAAUGCAAAAUCGGAUUAAUUUUCUGUAGCCUUCAAUUUGAUCUGAAAUUUUUUGAAAGUAUUUGUUGGGGUUCUUAAAGUUGAGUGAGGCGUUGUCUUUUUCAGGUUUUCUAGGGCAUAAAAUUUCGGGCAACUUUGUUUGAAGGCGACAGGUUUUGUUUGACUUCUUGAGAUUGUGGUUGAAGGCACAAAUAAGAUAUCCUUCAUUGAUUCGCUAAAUGUAGAAUAAUUCUGCUCAAUACAAAUUCCUUGAGUCCGUCCCGAGUUUGUUGAAGAUUAUUGAUGAACGUCCGAUCGAAUUUUGAGAACUUCUUGUAUUAAGGUUAGAGAUCCUUUUCCGAUGCCCUAAUGUGUAUGGUAGUGGUGUACCACUUAGUGUUUUUAUUGUGGUAAAUUGUCUUUUUAUUAGUUUUGAAUACAUGUUUUACCAUGCUUAAGACUAAACCAACUUUAGUGUAGGUUAACACAAUGCGAAUGCAAAAAAUCGUAUGGUCCUUGUACUGUCUUUACGAUAUAAAUUGGUGAGUUCAUAUUAUUUUCUAUAAUAUUUUACUGUUUUUGUUGUGUAGGUUACUGGUGUCAAAUUCCCCUUAUGGUUCAGAUUUUAUGAUUUUAUUUGUACUUAGAAACAUAAAGGGAGGAGGACAUUUUGUUAGUGUUUAACUUGUCAAAAAUAAUAGUUGAUUUUAGCAUAAUCGGUAGUUUAGAAUUUUUGAAUACGUCUUAGGGUUUAUGAUGAUAAUUUUCAAAGCCAACCAAUUUUAUUCAUAACAAAGUAGAGAAAUUUAAUGGAAAAACAUAAUAGCUCUAAGACACCACAUCAUACGAUGCAUAUCUUUCAGCGCAAAAGUGAUAAUUUCUGGUAGUAAAAUAUAUAUAUUCUUACAAUAAAAUAUAUAUUAUGUUUACAUUAUUAUAUUAAAGUGUGAAGGAUCUUGAGAAGUGAUUUGAACUUUUUUCUUUUCAUUAAAAAAUCUUUUCAAUUGACAAAAUCAUUUAAUUUUAAAUAAUAAAAAAUUACACGUGUGAAACACGUGUGAUUAAACUAAUUAUUAUAAAGAAAUAAGGCUCCUCAAAUUUAAAGGCUAAGGCAAUUACUUAUUUUUCACUAUGUAGAGCAGGCCUGACUCUAUAGCAAUUGUUUCUUUUAAAAAAUGACUAAUCAAAAAACCAACAAACUAGACUUAAUAGCUUAGAGCAAGUAGUUGAGUUUCCUGUAACAUCUGCCAAGUAGAUACAGUAUAGAAUAAGGAAGUAUAUAUGCUUGUUUAAUUAGUUUAAUUUUGAAGUUAUAAAUAGAACGAAAACUACCAAAAAUAUUCUUAAAUUAUGAGAAAAGGUUUAUAAAUAUCCGUCUUCUACCUUUGGGACUAAAUAUCCUUAAUGUUUGUUUUUGGACUCAAACAUAUCCCUCAAACUAACAGUCAAUGGAUGAAGCUCAAGUCAACGGUUAGUUCUUGUAAAAAGCCACUUGACAUUUUCUAAUUGACUGCAUAUUUUAGUUUAAUUUUUAAAAGCCACCUUGUUGAUCAAGAAACAUACAAAAUAUUUUCUCUCUCGUCAGACUCAGUUGUUUCUUCAUUCAAGGUUAGUUCCUCACAAUGAACCUUGAACUAACAACUAAAUCUUAUGACCCUUUAGGAAAUGAAACAUUGAACUGACAUUGAUGAUAUUGAACACUAAAUUGCGGCAAUAUAAAGGCAUUGUUAUUGACAUUUCAUGUAACCAACUAUUGAAUUCAACUACUAUUGAACUAAAAUACGAGAGUAAUUAAUUUAGUUGUUAUUGAUAACUCAAAAUCACCAUAAAAGUAUUGUCAUUGCCAUAACAUUGGCAGAGAACUGAUUCAUCACAAAGCCAGUUAAACAUAAUCCUAGCAUAACUACUUUCAUGAACUCAGUAACUAUUAAAAGAGUUUUAAUUCUAAUUGCCUAAAGUCUUUUACUUUUUAGCUUUCAUCUUGCCGGUUCCUUUUCUUCAACAACUAUUGAAAAAAAAAUGAUCUACAUGGACUCGAAUGAAAUGCAGACUCUAUAUGAAAUAGACGUAAUUUCUAACGAGGGAAAAAAUAUUUUGUAUGCUUAUCUUAAAAUGGGUCAACAAAUUAGGUUUCAAAAAUUAAAUUAAAAUGUAUGACCAAUUAGGAAAUGACAUAUGACUUUUUACAAGAGCCAAAACACUGACUUGAGUUUUCAUUCAUUAAUUGUUAAUGUAACGCCCUGAGUCUGUACCCAGGACGCUACACGGUGCUAGCGACCCCGAAGGACCACCCGCUAACCCAUGAUUGGUACCUUGUAACGUCCCAAAAAUUUAUCUCGAGAUGUCACAUGGUGCUUAGGACCACAAGUGAUCCUAAGCAAACUCAUGAGCUGGCACACUAAUAAGCAACUGAUUAAAUAUGUCUAAAAUGACUGAGUUUACUGUGCGGAAACAUAACAAUGAUGGAAUCUGUGAAAAUACAAUACUGCUACAAUUGUACAUUCUGAUAAAAUUUGAAAAGAGGGACUGAAAUUUACAUAAUUGACUUUAACUGACAUCUGUGAAGCCUCUACUAUAUUGACUAUAGAUAGUUGGGACGCGACUCCAGCUACCACUAAUCAAUACAUAUGAGUAAGA